GAGGGUAUAGCUCAAGUGGUAGAGCACAUGCUUAGCGUGCAGAAGGUCCUGGGUUCAAUCCCCAGUACCUCCU
rnacentral:tRNA from 1 species